GUAGAUUUUCUUCAACUAUACUUGAUACAUCUAGAUUGUGUGCAACUCUUGAAGUGAUAUAGGGCCCUCCUAGGCAUGGAUUUAAUCAUGUUUGAAGUAAUGACCAAGGGUAAUGGAAACAAGCACGUAUCGGCCGUAAUGUGAUGAUAAUGUGACGUGCCCUAAGGUUACAAUUAAACAAACUUGUUAAAACUUGCACAAUAUGGAAGUAUGCUAUUCAGCCAACAAAGAGAACAAGCCAAAAGCAUGCACAAUUAUAACAAUAAGCACUCCUCAAGAUCAAAUACUUGCCUAAACAAAUCCAGCAAUUCAAAUCACACCAAAACAACUUAAAAAAAAAAUGAAAACAAUUAGAUCUAAGUAGCUUGAACAAUUCCCACGCCAAAAAGAACUUAUGGUGCGCCAAUUUGCAAACAACUCCAGAUCUGAAAAUCCCUUCAAACCACACACCAUUUUGGAUGCUUAAACUUGAAUAAACUUGAUCAGAUUUCAACCAACCAAAUCCCCG
rnacentral:misc_RNA from 1 species